rnacentral:rRNA from 1 species
GACGAACGCUGGCGGCGUGCCUAAUACAUGCAAGUCGAGCGCAGGAAACUGACGGAACUCUUCGGAGGGAAGGCAGUGGAAUGAGCGGCGGACGGGUGAGUAACACGUAAGGAACCUGCCUCAAGGAUUGGGAUAACUCCGAGAAAUCGGAGCUAAUACCGGAUAGUUCAACGGACCGCAUGGUCCGCUGAUGAAAGGCGCUCCGGCGUCACCUUGAGAUGGCCUUGCGGUGCAUUAGCUAGUUGGGGGGGUAACGGCCCACCAAGGCGACGAUGGAUAGCCGACCUGGGAGGGUGAUCGGCCACACUGGGACUGAGACACGGCCCAGACUCCUACGGGAGGCAGCAGUAGGGAAUCUUCCACAAUGGACGAAAGUCUGAUGGAGCAACGCCGCGUGAGUGAUGAAGGUUUUCGGAUCGUAAAACUCUGUUGUAAGGGAAGAACACGUACGAGAGGGAAUGCUCGUACCUUGACGGUACCUUACGAGAAAGCCACGGCUAACUACGUGCCAGCCGCCGCAGUAA